rnacentral:rRNA from 1 species
GACGAACGCUGGCGGCGUGCUUAACACAUGCAAGUCGAACGAAGUGGCGAACGGGUGAGUAACGCGUAAUCAACCUGCCCUUCAGAGGGGGACAACAGUUGGAAACGACUGCUAAUACCGCAUACUGAAGGAGGGGAUUGCGUCUGAUUAGCUAGUUGGAGGGGUAACGGCCCACCAAGGCUGAGAUCAGGAAGCGGGCUGGGUAGAUGGACGACCACCAUGGGACUUGAGAACGGGUCAAGAUCCUACAGGAGGCAGCAAGGGGGAAUCUUCCGCAAUGGGCGGAAGUCUGACGGAGCAACGGCGCGUGGGUGAUGACGGCCUUCGGGUUGUAAAACUAUGUUAAUCGGGACGCGGUACCGGAAUAGAAAGCAACGGCUAACUACGUGCCAGCAGCCGCGGUAAUAC